rnacentral:tRNA from 1 species
GGUUGUAGUUCAGUGGUAGAACACUUGCCGAGCAUGCAUGAGGCACUGGGUUCCAUCCCCGCACCA